AGCGGGGUAGAGCAGUCUGGCAGCUCGCUUGGCUCAUAACCAAGAGGUCGGUGGUUCAAAUCCACCCCCCGCAACAA
rnacentral:tRNA from 1 species